AAAAAACUAGUUUAAAUAAAACGUAUAGUUGCAAGCUAUAAAUUAUAGUAAUAUGUUUUUUA
rnacentral:tRNA from 1 species